rnacentral:rRNA from 1 species
AACGAACGCUGGCGGCAUGCCUAACACAUGCAAGUCGAACGAGACCUUCGGGUCUAGUGGCGCACGGGUGCGUAACGCGUGGGAACCUGCCCUUAGGUUCGGAAUAACUCCCCGAAAGGGGUGCUAAUACCGGAUAAUGUCUUCGGACCAAAGAUUUAUCGCCUUUGGAUGGGCCCGCGUUGGAUUAGCUAGUUGGUAGGGUAAAAGCCUACCAAGGCGACGAUCCAUAGCUGGGCAGAGAGGAUGAUCAGCCACACUGGGACUGAGACACGGCCCAGACUCCUACGGGAGGCAGCAGUGGGGAAUAUUGGACAAUGGGCGAAAGCCUGAUCCAGCAAUGCCGCGUGAGUGAUGAAGGCCUUAGGGUUGUAAAGCUCUUUUACCCGGGAUGAUAAUGACAGUACCGGGAGAAUAAGCUCCGGCUAACUCCGUG